AUUGAACGCUGGGGGCAUGCCUAACACAUGCAAGUCGAACGGUAACAGGUUAAGUUGCGAGUGGCGAACGGGUGAGUAAUGUAUCGGAACGUGCCCAGUAGUGGGGAAUAGCCCGGCGAAAGCCGGAUUAAUACCGCAUACGACGUACGGGUGAAAGCGGGGGAUCGCAAGACCUCGCGCUAUUGGAGCGGCCGAUAUCAGAUUAGGUAGUUGGUGAGGUAAAGGCUCGCCAAGCCGACGAUCUGUAGCUGGUCUGAGAGGACGACCAGCCACACUGGGAAUGAGACACGGCCCAGACUCCUACGGGAGGCAGCAGUGGGGAAUUUUGGACAAUGGACGCAAGUCUGAUCCAGCCAUGCCGCGUGCGGGAAGAAGGCCUUCGGGUUGUAAACCGCUUUUGUCAGGGAAGAAAAGUGGAUG
rnacentral:rRNA from 1 species